rnacentral:rRNA from 1 species
UACGGAGGGUGCGAGCGUUGUCCGGAAUCACUGGGCGUAAAGGGCGCGUAGGUGGCGCGGGCAGUCAACGGUGAAAGUCCGGGGCUCAACUCCGGAUCUGCGGUGGGUACGGGCAGACUAGAGUGAUGUAGGGGAGACUGGAAUUCCUGGUGUAGCGGUGAAAUGCGCAGAUAUCGGGAGGAACACCGAUGGCGAAGGCAGGUCUCUGGGCAUUAACUGACGCUGAGGAGCGAAAGCAUGGGGAGCGAACAGGA